GACGAACGCUGGCGGCGUGCUUAACACAUGCAAGUCGAACGGAAAGGCCCGGCUUUUGUUGGUUUCUCGAUUGGCGAACGGGGGAGUGACACGUGAGUAACCUGCCCUUGACUGUGGGAUAACUUCAGGAAACUGGGGCUAAUACCGGAGAUGAGCUCCUGCUGCAUGGUGGUGGUUGGAAAAUGUCGGCGGUUGGGGAUGGACUAGCUGCUUAUCAGCUGGUUGGUGGGGUAGUGGCUUACCAGGGCUUUGACGGGUAGCCGGCCUGAGAGGGUGACCGGCCACAUUGGGACUGAGAUACGGCCCAGAAUCCUACGGGAGGCAGCAGUGGGGAAUAUUGCACAAUGGGCGGAAGCCUGAUGCAGCAACGCCGCGUGCGGGAUGAUGGCCUUCGGGUUGUAAACCGAUUUCGCAGGUGACGAAGAGUGAGUGACGGUAAUGGGUAAAGAAGCACCGGCUAACUACGUG
rnacentral:rRNA from 1 species